rnacentral:rRNA from 1 species
UCAGAGGGGGGUAGAAUNCCACGUGUAGCAGUGAAAUGCGUAGAGAUGUGGAGGAAUACCGAUGGCGAAGGCAGCCCCCUGGGAUAAUACUGACGUUCAUGCUCGAAAGCGUGGGUAGCAAACAGGAUUAGAUACCCUGGUAGUCCACGCCCUAAACGAUGUCGAUUAGCUGUUGGGCAACUUGAUUGCUUAGUAGCGUAGCUAACGCGUGAAAUCGACCGCCUGGGGAGUACGGUCGCAAGAUUAAAACUCAAAGGAAUUGACGGGGACCCGCACAAGCGGUGGAUGAUGUGGAUUAAUUCGAUGCAACGCGAAGAACCUUACCUGGUCUUGACAUGUACGGAAGAACUCAGAGACGAGUUUGUGCCUUCGGGAGCCGUAACACAGGUGCUGCAUGGCUGUCGUCAGCUCGUGUCGUGAGAUGUUGGGUUAAGUCCCGCAACGAGCGCAACCCUUGUCAUUAGUUGCCAUCAUUUAGUUGGGCACUCUAAUGAGACUGCCGGUGACAAACCGGAGGAAGGUGGGGAUGACGUCAAGUCCUCAUGGCCCUUAUGACCAGGGCUUCACACGUCAUACAAUGGUCGGUACAGAGGGUAGCCAAGCCGCGAGGUGGAGCCAAUCCCAGAAAACCGAUCGUAGUCCGGAUUGCACUCUGCAACUCGAGUGCAUGAAGUCGGAAUCGCUAGUAAUCGCAGGUCAGCAUACUGCGGUGAAUACGUUCCCGGGUCUUGUACACACCGCCCGUCACACCAUGGGAGUGGGGGAUACCAGAAGUAGGUAGGGUAACCGCAAGGAGCCCG